AUGAUUUCUUACAUAACUGAAGGGAACUAAAGGAGAAAGAGGAAAAGGAUAAUCUUGGCAGAACUUUACUUUUAAUAGGUUCUUAUUGGAAUGGCAUACCUUAUUUCAUAGAGAUCACCUCGUUCUUCAACUAGUUUUAGUGAUGAUGAGCACAAAUACACACUUAGGAAGUAGUUGUUGAAAGCAUGCUAUGAUUAACUACGUUUAACAAAAAGAAACUUUCAUGAUUGGUGCACCAUGGUGAUGCUAUCUUGUGCAUGCUUGGAGACGUGAAAGGUUCUUUCCAAGAUGCUAUGAAAUCACUUGAGCCUCUAGAACUACCCAAGGUUACUCCUCCUCUUGAAAUCCUUGGUGCCCUUGAAAAGAUCCCAGACCUGGCUCGUUCAGACAUGUUGCGAGCAUAUGGUAAACUCAUCCCUAGUGAACGCUUAUUUCAAGCGCUUAUGGAGUUGCCCAUGGAGUUUAGGAAGGAAUGGUUGUUGAUGCUCAAUAAGAAGAACAAUGUUUAA
rnacentral:rRNA from 1 species